rnacentral:rRNA from 1 species
AUUGAACGCUGGCGGCAGGCCUAACACAUGCAAGUCGGACGGUAGCACAGAGAGCUUGCUCUUGGGUGACGAGUGGCGGACGGGUGAGUAAUGUCUGGGGAUCUGCCCGAUAGAGGGGGAUAACCACUGGAAACGGUGGCUAAUACCGCAUAACGUCGCAAGACCAAAGAGGGGGACCUCCGGGCCUCUCACUAUCGGAUGAACCCAGAUGGGAUUAGCUAGUAGGCGGGGUAAUGGCCCACCUAGGCGACGAUCCCUAGCUGGUCUGAGAGGAUGACCAGGCACACUGGAACUGAGACACGGUCCAGACGCCUACGGGAGGCAGCAGUGGGGAAUAUUGCACAAUGGGCGCAAGCCUGAUGCAGCCAUGCCGCGUGUAUGAAGAAGGCCUUCGGGUUGUAAAGUACUUUCAGCGGGGAGGAAGGCGGUGAGGUUAAUAACCUCGCCGAUUGACGUUACCCGCAGAAGAAGCACCGGCUAACUCCGUGCCAGCAGCCGCGGUAA